rnacentral:rRNA from 1 species
GUCUACCGCCAUGCCACCCUUAGUAUGUCCUAUCUUAUCUGAUCUUGGAAGCUAAGCAGGGUCGGGCCCAGUUAGUACUUGGAUGGGAGACCACUUAGGAAGACCAGGUGCUGAAGGAA